rnacentral:rRNA from 1 species
GACGAACGCUGGCGGCGUGCUUAACACAUGCAAGUCGAACGGAAAGGCCCUGCUUUUGUGGGGUGCUCGAGUGGCGAACGGGUGAGUAACACGUGAGUAACCUGCCCUUGACUUUGGGAUAACUUCAGGAAACUGGGGCUAAUACCGGAUAGCAGCUCCUGCUGCAUGGUGGGGGUUGGAAAGUUUCGGCGGUUGGGGAUGGACUCGCGGCUUAUCAGCUUGUUGGUGGGGUAGUGGCUUACCAAGGCUUUGACGGGUAGCCGGCCUGAGAGGGUGACCGGCGACAUUGGGACUGAGAUACGGCGCAGACUCCUACGGGAGGCAGCAGUGGGGAAUAUUGCACAAUGGGCGGAAGCCUGAUGCAGCAACGCCGCGUGCGGGAUGACGGCCUUCGGGUUGUAAACCGCAUUCGCCUGUGACGAAGCGUGAGUGACGGUAAUGGGUAAAGAAGCACCGGCUAACUACGUG